AUACGGAGGAUCCGAGCGUUAUCCGGAUUUAUUGGGUCUAAAGGGUGCGCAGGCGGCCAUUUAAGUCAGCGGUUAAAUCGUGGGGCUCAACCCCAUUCUGCCGUUGAUACUGGGUGGCUUGAUUGCGGUCGAGGUUGGCGGAAUUCGUUGUGUAGCGGUGAAAUGCAUAGAUAUGACGAAGAACACCGAUUGCGUAGGCAGCUGACCAGACCGCAAAUGACGCUCAUGCACGAAAGUGCGGGGAUCGAACAGGAUUAGAUACCCUGGUAGUCCGCACAGUAAACGAUGAAUACUUGUUUUCGGCGAUAUAAUGUCGGAGGCAAAGCGAAAGCGAUAAGUAUUCCACCUGGGGAGUACGCCGGCAACGGUGAAACUCAAAUGAAUUGGCGGGG
rnacentral:rRNA from 1 species